GACGAACGCUGGCGGCGUGCUUAACACAUGCGAGUCGAACGGAAAGGCCCUGCUUUUGUGGGGUGCUCGAGUGGCGAACGGGUGAGUAACACGUGAGUAACCUGCCCUUAACUUUGGGAUAACUUCAGGAAACUGGGGCUAAUACCGGAUAGGAGCUCCUGCUGCAUGGUGGGGGUUGGAAAGUUUCGGCGGUUGGGGAUGGACUCGCGGCUUAUCAGCUUGUUAGUGGGGUAGUGGCUUACCAAGGCUUUGACGGGUAGCCGGCCUGAGAGGGUGACCGGCCACAUUGGGACUGAGAUACGGCCCAGACUCCUACGGGAGGCAGCAGUGGGGAAUAUUGCACAAUGGGCGGAAGCCUGAUGCAGCAACGCCGCGUGCGGGAUGACGGCCUUCGGGUUGUAAACCGCUUUCGCCUGUGACGAAGCGUGAGUGACGGUAAUGGGUAAAGAAGCACCGGCUAACUACGUG
rnacentral:rRNA from 1 species